GACAGAGGGUGCAAACGUUGUUCGGAAUUACUGGGCGUAAAGCGCGUGUAGGCGGCUAUGUAAGUCGGGCGUGAAAUCCCACGGCUCAACCGUGGAAGUGCACCCGAAACUGCGUAGCUAGAGUCCUGGAGAGGAAGGUGGAAUGCUUGGUGUAGAGGUGAAAUUCGUAGAUAUCAAGCGGAACACCCGUGGCGAAGGCGGCUCUCUGGGACGGUACUGACGCUGAGACGCGAAAGCGUGGGGAGCGAACAGG
rnacentral:rRNA from 1 species